GAGCAAAUCAUGCAGACCCUUCAUGCACUUCUGGACUGCUGAAGCUGCAUUCCGAUUAUCCAUCGUAGUAUACCUUUCUGAUUUAAUUGGAAAGUUGAACGAGAGCUGCUGGAAACUUCCUGGCUGUAGAAAGGCCACCGAGAGCAUUGCUUGUGCUCAUCAUCUUACACUUUGCAGGUGUUUGAAGAUCCCAUGGCAAAUCAUGGCAGCUGAGAGCAACUCGGCGUGGUGAUGGUGGGCAGGAAAGGAGGAAGAGGCUUUGAGUCACCGCAUCCUCGCAUUACUCAGCCUGCUCUGGGCACUGUUGUCGUCUCUGAGACCUUCUUGGAAACUCCCUUGUUCUCAGUGUGUGAACACUCAGAGACACAGCUGGAUGCCGGAUGGGCCACUCCUCCAGCCAUGUCCAGAAGCACAGCAAUCACACAGUGCAGGAGAUUCUG
rnacentral:lncRNA from 1 species